rnacentral:siRNA from 1 species
UAAGUUGCAGCGGAUGGC